rnacentral:rRNA from 1 species
UACGUAGGGGGCUAGCGUUGUCCGGAAUCAUUGGGCGUAAAGCGCGUGUAGGCGGUCCGGUAAGUCCGCUGUGAAAGUCGGGGGCUCAACCCUCGAAUGCCGGUGGAUACUGUCGGGCUAGAGUGCGGAAGAGGCGAGUGGAAUUCCUGGUGUAGCGGUGAAAUGCGCAGAUAUCAGGAGGAACACCUGCGGCGAAGGCGGGUUGCUGGGCUGAUACUGACGCUGAGGCGCGAAAGCCAGGGGAGCGAACGGG